CUAUUUCAGUGUCGGUUCAGCUGGUACACAGCCCGUGGAUCGGAAGGCAGGUGCGUGUUUGGCUGUGGCUGUGGGUCGGGGCUGGGGUUGUGGAAGCUGGGCGUUGCAGGGCAGCACAGCGUGGUUAUGGAGCUGCUUCUCCAUGCACAGCGGCAUCGAUGGGGAAAGUUGUGAGGAAAAGUGCUACAAAAGCCAAGGAACUGGGUGAGUUUAGAAGUCCCCGGCCACGCAUCCGUGCUGAUAGCCGCUCGUGAGCAGCUGCUGGAAGGCAGCACUGGGCUGCUGUGGGUUCCUGUGUGAAAACAGGCCGUGCCCGAGGCGGGCAGCGCGCACAGCUCGGCGGGGCCGGGCGCUCCGUCAGCUCCUCCGCACCUGCGUUGGGGAGGGCUGAGCGCUGUAAGCGCAGGUGAAGCCAAUGAGGCGUUCCCGCCCUGCGCUGAGGAGAGCCCUGCCUGAAAUGGCGGCGGGCAGAGCGGGGUGUGUGAGGCGGAACGCGGCCUACGUCGGCUGCCCCGGCCCGGGGGCACCGGGAAGAGACGCGGCCG
rnacentral:lncRNA from 1 species